AGGUUGUCAGAGAAGCAAUUUCUUCUGGAGUGAGAUGGUUACGAAUGCUGAAACUCGCAAAUCAGUAAGAAAGGCUGCUCAUGGUCUUCUUUGGUUAUCAGAGAGACUGCCAUGUCUGUUGCUAGCAAGGCUGUCCGUAGGGUUUUCACAAACUAUAUAUCAGACGAGCAAGAGCGGCAGAGAACCGCAGAGAGUCAGCAAAGGAGCUCAAGAAGAUGAUUGCCUUGAAUCGCUCAGAAAGACAAGAC